UGGUAGGGAUGAUUAUUGGGCUUAAAGCGUCCGUAGCCGGCUCAACAAGUCCCCUGUUAAAUCCAACGACCCAAUCGCUGGACUGCAGGGGAUACUGCUGGGCUAGGGGACGGGAGAGGCCGACGGUAUUUCCGGGGGAGGGGUGAAAUCCUAUAAUCCCGGGAGGACCACCAGUGGCGAAG
rnacentral:rRNA from 1 species